rnacentral:rRNA from 1 species
AUUGAACGCUGGCGGCAUGCCUUACACAUGCAAGUCGAACGGCAGCACGGGUGCUUGCACCUGGUGGCGAGUGGCGAACGGGUGAGUAAUACAUCGGAACGUACCUUAUCGUGGGGGGAUAACGCAGCGAAAGCUGUGCUAAUACCGCAUACGCCCUGAGGGGGAAAGCGGGGGAUCGAAAGACCUCGCGCGAUUGGAGCGGCCGAUAUCAGAUUAGGUAGUUGGUAGGGUAAAGGCCUACCAAGCCAACGAUCUGUAGCUGGUCUGAGAGGACGACCAGCCACACUGGAACUGAGACACGGUCCAGACUCCUACGGGAGGCAGCAGUGGGGAAUAUUGGACAAUGGGCGCAAGCCUGAUCCAGCCAUGCCGCGUGUGUGAAGAAGGCCUUCGGGUUGUAAAGCACUUUUGUUGGGAAAGAAAAGCGGUCGGUUAAUACCCGGUCGUUCUGACGGUACCCAAAGAAUAAGCACCGGUUAACUUCGUG